rnacentral:tRNA from 1 species
GCCGGUUUAGCUCAGUGGUAGAGCAGCGGUUUUGUAAACCGUUGGUCAUCAGUUCGAAUCUGAUAACCGGCU